GAUAAACGCUAGCGGCAGGCCUAACACAUGCAAGUCGAGCGGCAACACGAGGUAGCAAUACUUUGGUGGCGAGCGGCGGACGGGUGAGUAACGCGUAUGCAACCUGCCCGCAACACGGAGAUAGCCGACCGAAAGGACGAUUAAACUCCGAUAGUAUCAUUUUGCGGCAUCGCUUAAUGAUUAAAUAUUCAUAGGUUGCGGAUGGGCAUGCGUGGCAUUAGUUAGUUGGCGGGGCAACGGCCCACCAAGACGAUGAUGCCUAUGGGUUCUAAAAGGAAGAUCCCACACAUCGGUACUGAGACACGGACCGAACUCC
rnacentral:rRNA from 1 species